rnacentral:lncRNA from 1 species
CUCAAACCCAUGCACGCGACUAUCCAAGCAUUGAGAAUUAAGAGAUUGAGAAUCUUGACUGUGGCCAAGGAAUGACCUUGGAUCGAACUUGAGGAGUGGACGAUCAAGAAUCCCAUCAUCCCAAUGAUUUUCCUCUAGCCUCACUGCCAUCAAAAGGCCAUGAAAAUCAAAGAAAAAGGAGAAAAUUGAAGGAAAAAGAUCAGAAAAAAAACCAAG